GUGAUUUCCAGGCCAGUCAGGUCUAUAUAGCAAGAUCCUAUCUUAAACAGAACAAAUUAAAACCAACCAAAAGGAAAAGGGAGGAGGAGAAGGAAGAAGAAGAGGUAGAAGAAGAAAUAAUGAAGGUGGUAUCCAUCCCAACCUUGUUCCUAAAUCUUAAGAAAACAAACUAAGACCUCUUCGCCCAAUAUGGCAGGCUUUGUUUUCCCUGAUGUGCAUCAGUGUGAGCUGGUGGUCCACAGAGCCACAGAAUCAACAGGACUUGUAUGUGUUAGGGUUGAUCCCAGGGUGUGGCACUCAUUCUACCAACCGGGUUACACCCACAGCCCCAGGUGUCUGCUUCUUUGUCUGUAGAAGAGAGUGAUACUCUGAGGGUCAGGUUUCGGUUCCUUGCCCCACAGAAGUUAAAUGAGAUCCAGGAGCUGUCAUAUUCUGAGGCUGUCUCUUAGCAAUUUUGGGGAUUAGUCCCAAGACCUCCCAAGAUCCACAGAUGUUCCAACCUCUUAAACAAAAGGACACAGUGUUUGUAUAAAACCUACACAAUCUUCCCAUAUAGUUUAAAUGAUCUCUGGGUGAUUUGUAAUUCCUAAUACAAGGAAUAUGGCAUAUACAGUUGCUAUGCUGUGUAUUUUAGCAAUAAUGACAAGAAAAAAUCUGUUAUGUACAGAUGCAAUUGUUUUUCUGCAUAGUUUCAGUGGGCUAUAGAUAUACUGUGGGAGGUGGGUGGAGACAAAGAGAGAGAGAGAAAGAGGAAGAGAGAGAGACAGAGGUAGAGUAACUGAAAGAAACUGAGAAAUAAUUGAAAUAAGUAGUUUCACACCAUUGAGGAAGCUUGAUAAGUCCAAAAUUUGGUGGAGGAGGCCAGCAGGAAUUCCCAGGGAAGACUUGCUAUCUGAAUCCAAAAGUGGCGUCAUCAGAAUUCCUGCCUCCUCAAGCCAGCCUAUCAAGACCUUCGAGUGACUGGAUGAGGUCCACCCACAUGAUGGAGAGGAUUCUGUUGCAUUCAUAUAGUAAUUUCCAUGUAAAUCUCAUUUAAAAGAGAAAGUCAGAGAAACCUCUAGAAUACUGUUUGAAUCCAUUUCUAGGCACUGGGGCCCAACACUGACAAUGUUAACCACCACAAACACCAUGUCCUAUAUCAGGGUAUAUAAAUUUCCAAGUUAAGGGCUUGAGAUGGUUUGAAUUUGGUUGGCCCAGGGAGUGGCACUAUUAGGAGGUGUGGUGUUGUUGGAGGAAGUGUGUCAUUGUGGGUGUGGGCAAUGAGACCCUCCUCCUAACCACAUGGGAGCCUGUCUUCUCCUAGCAGCCUUCAGAUGAAGAUGUAGAACUCCCAGCUCCUCCUGCACCAUGCCUGCUUGGAUGCUGCCAUGCUCCUGCCUUGAUGAUAAUGGACUGAAUCUCUGAACCUAGUCCCCUGUGUACCAGGCUCGCCUACAUUUGCUAUGUAGUCUCUGCUGGCCUGGAACCACUUUUCCCCAAUUUCCCAGGUGCUGAGACCCGAUGCGGUCUCUCAGAGCCUCUUCCACCCUCAGUAGAUGCGCUUGAAGACACAGCCAUGCCAUGCAGCUGAGAAGAGAUCCUACCUGCCCAUGCAGCUUGGACUCCAGCACCAGGCCCCACAGGUCUGCUACCGUGACGGUGUAGCCCUGCUCUUCCCGAAGCUUCAGUGUCUGGCGGUAGCUUGCCAAGUGUUCGGGGAGGAAUUCCUUCAGCAGGGUUUUAGCCACAUGCUCCCUAGCAUGACUGAUGGGUCCUUCGAGGUCCCUCUGUGACCACUCUGGGUCCCUGUACAGGUGGGCCAUUGUCCUGGGGGAACAAGAGGAUGAACGCUGAAUCCCAAUCCUGCCCUGUGUCUAAUCCUUAAAGAGGGAUUGUUGAGGUCCUUGAUGCCAAGAUAGUCCGUCUGGAGACGGAUCCUGGGACUUCCUUCUAGUCCUGGUCUAGGUCUGGUAUAUAUAUACACACACACACACAUAUAUAUACACACACACACAUAUAUACAUACAUACACAUAUACAUAUAUACAUGUAUAUAUACACACAUAUAUGUGUGUAUGUAUGUAUGCAUGUAUAUAGUUAUGAUUUAGAUUUUAUUCACUGGGCUGAGGCUCAACCUACAGUCUCUUACAGUCUCUUGCAGGUGCUUCAGUGAUGAGGUAUUUCCGACCCAUAUAUAAUUUAGAGUUUCUCAGUAGCCACAUUAGGAAAUGAGCAGGAAAACAGUAAAGAAGCUUUAAUAACUUAUGUUGUUGAAUUCAGUAACAGCAGCAGCCAACAGUGGGCCUAUAAAGGACAUUUUCCCAUCUUCUCUCCUCUGAGGGAGUACCCACUCUGCCCCACAGACCCCUUCUCCUCAGAGCUGCCCCCAUGCUGCUGUCUACGUCAUGUCUCACUCCAAGAGAACGGUCCCCCUCAGAGGAACUCCAAACCUGAAAACGUGCAGCCACGUAUGGCUGAUGGCUUUUAUACUGGACAGCACCAGUCCCCACUCCUACCUUUACAGACCUGUCCUGAAGUUAUUUAAGACUGUACUUGUCAAUUGUUAAACUUCUACUCCUACUUUAGUAGGAGUCAUGUGUCCAUGAGGUUCGGACGAAUGAAUCUGUAAUAGUGAA